rnacentral:rRNA from 1 species
GUCCACGCCGUAAACGGUGGGUACUAGGUGUGGGUUUCCUUCCUUGGGAUCCGUGCCGUAGCUAACGCAUUAAGUACCCCGCCUGGGGAGUACGGCCGCAAGGCUAAAACUCAAAGAAAUUGACGGGGGCCCGCACAAGCGGCGGAGCAUGUGGAUUAAUUCGAUGCAACGCGAAGAACCUUACCUGGGUUUGACAUGCACAGGACGACUGCAGAGAUGUGGUUUCCCUUGUGGCCUGUGUGCAUGUGGUGCAUGGCUGUCGU